AGCUCCUGAUGCAGGAUCCUGCCCUGUGUGAGUUCCUGUCCAUGAAGUAUAUGCUGAAUAAACCCUUUCUUCCAGAACUUGCUUUUUUCGUCAAGGUAUGUCAUCAGAAUUACAAACACUAACAGGGACUAUCUCCUUUCCGCUUUGAGGAGUCAGGUGCUGCAAGAAACUGAAAAGCACUCAGGAGAGAGAGAGAGAGAGAGAGAGAGAGAGAGAGAGAGAGAGAGAGAGAGAGAGAGAGAGAGCAGCAGUAGGAAAAAUGAUGAGAGAGAGGAAGAUGUGCGGGGUGGGGCUUGUUCUGAGUGCUUUGGAACCAACUUGUUCUUUAAUUAAGGGAGGGGAAAAAACCCUUACCCUUCAGCUGGUAAAGAUGGCCCUAAGAAAAUUAAAAUGAUGUAAAUUAAGCUAAAUGAACACUCCACAAGUGCCACUAGAGCUCAGUGGGAUCCAGUGUUUGGAUGCCCCAUAUGUUUUAAAAGAGGAGCUGGCAAGUGCUUUCUGCAGCAUGUGACCAAGAGGGAGGCUAGAGGCCCAUGCCAGAUGGGAGUUACAGAGAGUUUAAGGUGACGUCAUCUGUGUUCUGGUUUUCUAUAGACUAGAAAAGAAACAGCCUAAUCAAUGAUGGUGGUGAUUCUCUGACUUCCUUCCUUGGGGUCGCCAAUGCAGAGAAAUCAGCUAAUUUGUAAUUAAAAUAUAUAAAAUAAAAUGUUUCAAAGGGAGUCCAUAGUUCCUAGUGAAAUAAUCUAUUUGCCACAAGGGCAAGGUGUGAUAGAAUAUGUGCGUGUCUGUGUGCAUGCAGGCUAAUAGCAUGUUGAUGGCAACGGGGCAGGAAGAAGCAAUUCCCGAUUUUAAUAGUAGCACAGGAUCACAUGCACACGUGCACAGAACAAUCUGAGCAUUAACUUCUGGUGUCACAUACAAAGAUAUAACCUCCUAAGGGUUCCCCUAAGGCAGGUACGAGAGUGACUGCUUACAAAGGGUAGACCCAGUCCUCAGCGGAAGGUCUGCAAGGUAACACGGGUUUAUUACAUACCAGUGUUCUGAUACUUAGCUAUCACCCUCAAUCGAUAUUGAUAUGGUGAGAUUACACAAGAAGAUUUUACCUCUACCACGACAUGGUGGUAAAAUGUCUUCAAAUCACAACACACAGAAGACUGAGGCAGGAGGAUUGUGAGUCAAGGCUAGCCUGGGCUCCAAAGUGAGACUCUACUUCUAUAAGGCUAUAAGGGAGAUAUGGGUGGACUAUGGGAGACAUGGAUAGACCACACUAACCCUUUAAUUUUCUGGGAAGUGAGAGGCUAAGUGGCUUGCAUCAGGCCGUCUAGACCUAGAGUGACCAUGUGCUUAUCAAUUUGCUCUAAUUUAUUUAAUGUUUGAGUUUUCAUGCAAGUAUAUUUUGUAUGUUCUCUUCCCCCUCCCCCACCUCUCGCUGAAUCUCUAGACAGUUUAAAUUCUACCUCUUGUCAUAUUAUACACAUAUGAUUAUAUGUAUUUCUAUAGAAUCUAGGAACCAUGGAUGAGAGAAAACAUAUGAUAAUUGUUUUCCCAAGACUGGCUUAAUUCACCUGAUGCAAUUCUCCAGUGGCACUAGUUUUCCUGCAGACAACACAACUUUGUUCUUUAGGGCUGAAAAAAAACCCCUUUAAUUGUGUCUAUUUAUAUCAUACUUUCUUUAUCCAUCCCUCUGUUGUCAAGCACUAAGGUUGGUUCUAGAAUUCUGCUAUUAUGAACAGUGUUUGCUGUAAACAUCGAUAUGCAUGUGUCUCUGCGAUCUGUUGACUUGCAGUCCUUGGCAAUCAUUGAACAGACAAGUAACACAGGCUGGUGAGCAGCUGUGCUAGGGGAACCCUUACACACCACUGGUGGAAUGAACACAAAUGUGGUCACUAGUGAGGGUCAUACACAGGUUUCUCAAACCAAGGUACUUCUGAGAGUGAAUGCGGGAGCUGUUACCAUUACUCUAGGUCUGACUGUUGCCAGGGCAACCAGGUGAGGUGAUUGAUUAUUCUGUUUCAACAGCUGGCCUUGGGGGAUGGGAACCAUAGCCUCUUCAUUGCUGCCAUUUGUAAGAAUAGCUCAACAACAGAGGGAUGGAUAAAGAAAGUAUGAGCCUACCUGAAGCAUCCUGUGGUGAACAGAAGAAUAUUUCCAGUCACAUAUGUGGAUGUGCAGUACCACAAAUAGAGUUACUAGAAUAAAUGGGAUUCCUACUGUA
rnacentral:sRNA from 1 species